GCGUCUCCGAUAACCUGCUGGUUGUGAAGCUCCACCUCCCUCUCUAGCUUGGUCUUCUCGGUGUUCUUGGGCUCUCCCCAGUAGUCGUAGCGGUACAUAGGCUUACUCGGGUCGUAGUAAUCUUUGCCAUAAACUUCGGUCUCAUCCACGUCAUAUCGCCCAGGUUCGUCGACAGGAAGCCCAAAUGCUUUACGGCUGCCAAUUUUUGAGUUAGUGGAUAUACAUUCGGUGGCAUCAAAUUUGUAGCAGUAGUAACAUUAGUUGCAAUUACCAGCAUAUGUCUCUGAUAAGAGCUUCCCGCUCUUCGAAAGAACGGCGCCAUUGCAUUAGAUCGUACUCAUCCAUUUCUUUGUUUCGUCGGAGCUUCCCUACUUUGUAUUCCUCUCCUCUUUCCUCUGCUUCCUUUCUUAGUUUUUUUAUCAGCUGCAGAAAUUAAACUUCAGUAUGUUGAAAGGAAAUAGCGAGUGAUCAAUAAAGAAUUGUCCUCGCUAUGAGGGAAAGGGUACCUGACGCUCAGCACGAGCGGCAUCCAGAUCAAGCUCCUUGAUAUCUAUAUUCUAACAGAAGAGUUCAGAACACAACCAGAAUGUCAUUGGGGGAUCAUUGUACUGUAAAAAAAACACCCUACGAUAAUUGAAAGCUAGUAAUCAGUAGCU
rnacentral:sRNA from 1 species